GGGGAAUAUUGGGCAAUGGGCGCAAGCCUGACCCAGCAACGCCGCGUGAAGGAAGAAGGCUCUCGGGUUGUAAACUUCUUUUAUCAGGGACGAAACAAAUGACGGUACCUGAUGAAUAAGCCACGGCUAACUACGUGCCAGCAGCCGCGGUAAUACGUAGGUGGCAAGCGUUAUCCGGAUUUACUGGGUGUAAAGGGCGUGUAGGCGGGAAAGCAAGUCAGAUGUGAAAACUAUGGGCUCAACCCAUAGCCUGCAUUUGAAACUGUUUUUCUUGAGUGUCGGAGAGGCAAUCGGAAUUCCGUGUGUAGCGGUGAAAUGCGUAGAUAUACGGAGGAACACCAGUGGCGAAGGCGGAUUGCUGGACGAUAACUGACGCUGAGGCGCGAAAGCGUGGGGAGCAAAC
rnacentral:rRNA from 1 species